rnacentral:lncRNA from 1 species
GUAAGUAAAACAGUGGUGGGCGCCCUUCCUGAGCAGGUGGCCUUUCAACCCACGGGGCAUGGAGGACCGAGCCAUGAGUUCCUGGGUCCAGGUGGCAGGGCGAGAGCCCACAGACCUCAUGGUGGGGCUUUGGAGCGCUGGGAAGGCAGGUGUGGUUGGGUUGUAGUGGGAGAGGGACGUGGCAGGGAGAGGAGGUGGCAGAGGUGACUGGGUGGUGUGGGGCCUUGAUGAUGCCAGCAUGCCCAGGAGGAACCAUCAAUCUCGGAUGCUCAGACCUCAGGGCUCAGUCCUGAUCCGAGGGCCGGAGUGGGGCUUCCCUGGCAGAGGACGUGCUUCGGAAGGGCCCGGGCUGAUGCUGGGUCAUCGCUGCGGCGGGUGGAGAUGUGUGGAGGCUGGAGAGAAGGGGCCAGGACAGGACCUUCCACAGUGCCACGUCCCGGUUCCCCAGCAUCCUGCCUGGCAGCGGACGGGCCGAGAUCUGGCCACGUGGAUUUUGUUCAGCCGCCCAGGGAGCUCUGGACCCAAGGCAGGGCGGAGCUCCCUCAGCCGUCCUGGAGUGAGGAGGGCAGAGCCGAGCGGAUGGCGCUCUGAUGGGGUUGCAGGUCACCUCGUCCCCAGUGUCCGCACUUGGUCCCCACAGCAGCACCACCAGCUGAUCUGUCUCCAUCUGUUGCCGAUGAUGACCCAUGACCUUGGAGAACUCCCAG